CAGCCGCCGCGGUAAUACGUAGGUCCCGAGCGUUGUCCGGAUUUAUUGGGCGUAAAGCGAGCGCAGGCGGUUUCUUAAGUCUGAUGUGAAAGCCCCCGGCUCAACCGGGGAGGGUCAUUGGAAACUGGGAAACUUGAGUGCAGAAGAGGAGAGUGGAAUUCCUCGUGUAGCGGUGAAAUGCGUAGAGAUGUGGAGGAACACCAGUGGCGAAGGCAAUCCCCUGGGCCUGUACUGACGCUCAUGCACGAAAGCGUGGGGAGCAAACAGGAUUAGAUACCCCUGUAGUCCCUGUCUCUUAUAC
rnacentral:rRNA from 1 species